CAAGCAGCGGAGCGUGUGGUUUAAUUCGAUGCUACACGAAGAACCUUACCAAGGUUUGACAUGCAAGUGGUAGUGAUCUGAAAAGUGAACGACCCUUCGGGGAGCUUGCACAGGUGCUGCAUGGCUGUCGUCAGCUCGUGUCGUGAGAUGUUCGGUUAAGUCCGCUAACGAGCGCAACCCUCACUGUGUGUUACAUGUGUCACACGGGACUGCCGGUUUUAAGCCGGAGGAAGGCGAGGAUGACGUCAAGUCAGCAUGGCCUUUAUAUCUUGGGCUACACACACGCUACAAUGGCCUGUACAAUAGGUUGCCAAGCCGCGAGGCGGAGCCAAUCCUUAAAGCAGGCCUCAGUUCAGAUUGCAGGCUGCAACUCGCCUGCAUGAAGAUGGAGUUGCUAGUAACCGCAGGUCAGCUAUACUGCGGUGAAUACGUUCUCGGGUCUU
rnacentral:rRNA from 1 species